rnacentral:misc_RNA from 1 species
UGCCUAUCAAGUGUGAACUUCACUUGUCUUUGUCGAGUUCGCUGGCUCAACUCACCAUUCUCCAAAAAGGGCGGGCACCCUGCAGUACCGCCUUCAACGCACAGUCGAUGAGCUCGACGACAAAAGCGUGGGCUGUUCACGCGUCGCAAAAUGGCUGAGAUCGUGAAGCAGGGGCGAAAGUUGAGUAUAAACUGAAGCGACCGAGUCCACUCAAGCAGGAUUACUUUUUUUUUUUUUUUCUUAAGAUAGGGACACAAAUACAGAAAUUAAGGAGAGAACUUGACGUCUUAAUAAAAUUAUAAUAAUUUUAUCAAGAUUUCGUAUUUUAUUUAAUCACUGUACGCACACACUUCACACCUGUGGGAUCCGAUGAACCAAGCAGGACUACUUGGCUUAUGUUGAGUAGAGAUUCAACUUCACUCGCUUCGCUACCUCCGCCAGAAAUUGGUGGCGCGUGAGCUUAAAAGAAGGGAAAUAAAAAAACAAAAAAGAUAUCAGUUUCUGAUUUUUCCGGGUUUUGAGAAUCGUCCUCGUCGUGCUGAGGAUUUAACCAAAAAAGGAAGCUUAGUUGGGUUGGGUUGAGUUGAGUUGAGUUGAGAAUCUUCUUGCUGUAACGAGAGAUGUAAGGGAGAGAUUGAACUGAGGUUUCGGUAUUUGGAGUUCUGUAGGGAUCGAAGGAAUGGCAGAAUGAAAAAGGUAUAUUUUGUGUGUGUGUUUUGUCCCUGUUUGGUUGCUGAGAAAGUAGGUAUUUUUUUGUUUUUUUGGUGCUUGGUUGUUGAGAAAGUGAAGUACUGGAUAAGAAAAGGAAAGUUUUUUAUUUUUAAGAAAUCAAUAAUGCAUGGACUACACCAGUUGGAUUCAGUUUUAUGCUAAUUUUGAUUGUUCAUUGACACUUUUGGGAACAAGUUUUUGUAAGAUUCUUUAAUGUAAUUAAGACAUAUGGAGGUUUUGUGGAAAAGUUGAGGUUUUUGAAGGUCUAAAAUUCUCAGUUUCUCAAUCCAGGUGUUGAAAAGGUUUUUAUAAAUUGAACAUUAGAUAUUAUCAUUCCUUAUUUUCUCAUAUCAUCCGAGAAACAUCAAGCAACAUAACCAUCAUUUACCUUACCUUUCAUUACUUUAUCUUUUCUCCUUACACCCUCCCAAACCAAGUUUAACUUGUAUUGGUUGGAAUAAUCUUUUGUUUAGGUGUUUUUGAGGUAUGUGCUUCAUUCUUGUUAGUGUUUACUAUAACGGUUUCCCCUGGAGAGGACAAGGGAACUUUUGUCCCUGAUCAUGUAGAUGCUGAUGAGCAACAGUGAAGAAAAGAAAAUGAUGGUGUGUUUGUGUCACUGGAUGAAGAAAUUGCAAACAGUAAUGGAUCAAAUGUUAAUGUUAGUGAGUCUGAGAAGAAAGUGGAUUUGUUUCGACAACAAGGAUUGAACAUUCUUCAGACUCUCUAUAGUGGGGCAGUUGAAGCGGUUCCUUAUAGUUUUGGUCUGAGAAAGCGGUUAUUUUAGAUAUUGGAAGCAACAGAGUUGGCAGAUUCAGAAGACAUGCAUAGGGAGAUCCUAAGUGAUAUAAGGAAAAACUUUUCGAAAGAUCCAGAAUAUUGGGAUUGGAUUGCUAGACUUGAAAUGACUAAUUCUGGAACUAUACAGGAGAAGAUUGAAAAGGCGUCUUCCUGCCACAUCUACAAAAAGCAGUUCAGAUACACAAUUCCACAAAACCAUGUGAACCACUGCAACUUGAGAUUUAUUAUUUGCUGCUUUCUGUUGGCCUAGUUUUUCUCAUUAUUGAUAUCUGCCAAGCGUAUUAGUGCAGUCUUUUGUUUUUCUCUGUGAAAUUGAAAUAUAGAAAUGUACAUGAUAUGAAUACUUUUCUUGCUUAUUAACAUCUAAUGGUCACCCUUGAUUCUCUUCAUUGUGUAGGUUUAUGAGGAGGCUUCCAUUAUGUUUAACCUAUUUAUAAAGUUCUUUAUGGAUGUUGUUGGGCGUAAAAGAAAAGAAGACCGAGUCUCUGGAUUACCCAAUCACACUGAAGAUUAUAUUUAAUAUUUCUCAUAUAUUGAGGAUAUACGAGAAAGCUGAGACAUUGGGAUGCAUUACUGAGGAUCUUGCUUUUGAAUAUGUGCCAUUUUACUUGCAACAAGGGAGACUAGAUGGAGGCAAGAAGCUAGCAGAAAAAUUUUUGAAGUGGAAAGCUUUCAAAUUUGGUAAAAUUAUGGCUUUUAAGGGCCUCUUUGGAAAUCAGAUGUCCUACAAAUAAUACUCCUGGACAAAGUAAGGUUGAUCUGCAAUCCGUCUUUGGACUUCUUUGAAGUUUGUUGACAAAAAUGUCAAUAACAGAAGCUAAGGACUUGUGGAUAAUGGUAUAUUUUUGUACUUCCGUAGUUCUACCAUUUCUGCUGUCCAAUUCUUAGAUUAUGUGACUGAUUAAUCUGCUUUCAUAUUUACCAGUCCUCACUGGCUCUAUUUCUUUUGCCUAUCAGAAAUAUCUGUUAAGAUAUGCAUCAUUUUCUGUAUAAAGUAUUUGCCUAAUGAAAAUGCAAGUAUCACAGGCUUGUAACCCUUCAAAUAAAUAGCAAAGAUUUUGUUUGGAUGAAAA